AAACAGACUGAAAAAGGAUUUGGUUAUGAGACUAUAUAAGCCAUUCAAGAUCUUUGGUAAUCAUCAAGAUGGGAUACGUUGGAGUCUGAUCUUGAUUCCAGCUGUGAACUGAUGAAUUCAGAUACUUGGAUUGCAUCUGGCUUUGGCGAGAAUCAUUUGGGUGGGUCACCGUACUUCUCAAAUAGUUUUGCUUAGCAAUUUCUUCUUCUGACUGCUAACAUCAAGUCAUGUGUCGGGACGAAAAACUCAUGCUAGAACUGCAGAGCAUUGGCCUACAUCCGGAAAGAAUGCAGGCAAGGAGGAAG